rnacentral:hammerhead_ribozyme from 1 species
CAUCUGCUGAGGAGUCCCAUACCAGGACGAAACGGCUGUCCAGCGC